ACUUCCUUCGUCUUGCAUAGGCAGAUUAGUCAUCUUCUGGGUGAGGCAGACAAGGCACUAGCUUGAGUGAAACUACCACCACUGUGGGAUUGGAAGUGCUGAUGGCACACUUUGAUUCAGCAAAUUGUCAGUGUUCCACGGAGCACCCAGAAGUCCAGGGACAGAGAGGAUCAUGAAAAGCUAGGACCUGGGUGAUGGGAUCCUAGAGAACCCUCAAAGCUAGAGGGCAACUUUGGUCUCUGCCACCAGGGGGCAGAAGGAGCUGGCAGGACGGUCCUUCACUGCGUUGGAGGACAGAAUCCUUCCCGGCAGGCAGGGAUGUGUCGGAGUCAUCGUAUUCCUCCGCUGUUGUAGGACUAGCUACAACCGAGAAGCUUGGGUUUUGAAGCCAUUUCUUCCUCCCCUCCUCCCCAUCUUGAACAACCAGGUCUGCAUUUGUGGGAAGCCGAACGCAGGAUCUGGAGGAAAUCAAGGUACUUGGAUGUGGACCAGGAGCUUCCUGCCCAGUGCCUUAACCAGGACUCAUGCCCACACCACAUAUCGUGGUUCUUAAUUGCGGCUCAGCAGAAAAGUAAAACGCAGAGGUAUACCAAAAAGCCAAUCAACAGGGGAGACAAAACUGAAUACCAAGAGUUAUUUUAUUGGUGAAAAUGAAAGUAGGUUAAAAGUAUAAAUAGAAAUGAUGGGGUAAUGAGAAAGCAAAUGGUUUUACUCUGUGGCAUUGAUAAUCAUAUUAAGUGUAACUGAAAUUAACACUACGUUUCAUGUCAACAUGGAUAAAAAGCAAGCCACACCAGCGUGCUGAAGGUGACCAUGCUGUAUAGACAUACAAGUGAAAAGUCAAAGGAUGGGGGCCGGUGCUGUGGCUCAGUAGGUAAAGCCGCCGCCUAAGACACCUGCAUCCCUCAUGGGUGCCCGUUCGUGCCCUGGAUGUUCCACUUCCAAUGCAAUUCUUGCUGAUGGCCUGGAAAAACCAGCUGAGGAUAGCUCAAGUGCUUGGGCCCUCGGCACCCACAUGGGAGACGUGGAUGAAGCAUCAGGCUCCUGGCUUUGGCCUAGCUCUGUCCUGACCAUUGCAGCCAUCUGGAGAAUGAACCAGCAAAUGGAGGCUUGUUCUCUCACUCUUUCUGUCUCUUGCUCUCUCUCUCUAACUCCAACUUUCAAA